rnacentral:tRNA from 1 species
UCUAUGGCCAAACUGGUCAAGGCGUCGCCGAUUAUAGGCGACGAUGCGGGUUCGAGUCCCGCUGGA